CUCAUUUGCCUCUAGAGUCGCCCAAUCUCGCCGGAGAUCGCCGCUAUCCGCCAUGGCCGCCUCGGACUCGGCUUGGUUCCGGUCGUUCUAGCCACUCCCUCGUCUCCCCAACUUGCCCACCGCAUUCCCCUCACCCCCGCAGCUCACCCCAACCACUUACCCCUCGUUGGAGACCGCCGUAGCGCCGAGUCCCAUCACCGCCCGACAGCCUCCCGUCAGCCACCUCCAUUGCUCCACGAUCCCGAGCUCUUCUCAGCCUCCCGUCGCCACCACCAGCUAUCCCGCGUCCUGGAGAUCCUCCCCAUCCCCUCCGUUCAUCACCGGAGUGCCCCGAGGGCGCCGUGCCCCUAGUCAACCACCGCCACCUGAGCCCUCUGUCCACCACUGUCUCCGUCGCCCCAGCCCGCCUCGGCUCUCUAUCUCUUCGGGGAUGGACGCGCCUUGGCCGUGCGAGUCCACCAGUGGCCGGCAUCUCGCUGGAGGUCGCCAGAGGCAGCAGGCCCAACGCCGGCUGCGGCCUCCUCUGCUUCUCUCUGUUCCUCGCGAGGAAUAAAACACGGGAGGAAGAAUACAUGCCCGAGGAGAGAGAGGAUAAGGCGGUCCCCGCCUGUAAGCCUCUCGGUGUUGACCCCCUGCCACGGACCCGAUUGGUGAUAAUUUUUUCACAGAUUAGUCCCUAAACUUCAACCCUUCACAACGUUUUGCUCGUAACUCCCUUUGAGCCCCUCCGAGAGAGGAUUGUUUCUGGUGAAUCUUUCCGCAGCCUCACCGCACUUCUCCCCGGUACCUUCUUCAUCCCCAGGCAAGCCACAAUACCCA